UUCACCCUGGUCAUAUGUCAACAAACAGCUGACAGCUUUCAAUUCACAAAUUUGUAAUUUGAAAACUUGGUUAAAAUGAAAACUUGCUACUAUUUUUAUUGAUAUCGAGCGGCGUUCAGAGGAGUCUCGAAAUGGAAAGCUCCUUAUCGACUUUUCCUAUCCAUUAGAUGCUACUGAAUCGGUCUUCGUGUCUAGUUACAGAUUAACCAAAACUGCGUUCAGUAUGCUUCUGACUAUAAUUGUUCCUCCUAUAAAAGAAACAUCCCUUCCUGCACAACUGCAGUUGGUAGCAACACUUCGAAUUUUAGCAGUGGGGUGGAGUACUGUUUUACUGAAUAUAUUAGAAAUAUAUCUAUGCUCCUCCUGGAUCGAAAUAAACAGGAUCAAUGACGAUGUGAAUAAAUCGAGGUAGCAUUUUUGCAGAACUUUGGAAUACCGGAUGUCAUUGGCUGCAUAGCGAAACGCAUAUAUCAUUAACUAAGCCACACAUAAAGCAUGACGUUUUUCGUAAUCGGAAAGGGUAUUUCAACGUCAAUACAAUGAUUAUAUGUUAUUAAAUAUGGCAACCAGAGCAGUGGAUGCUCGACGCUCUGGUUCAAGUCAUGAUGCUUUAAUCCUUAACGGACGAAUGCCGCAUAUAAGGCGUGAUAUAUGAUUUUAUUAUUUCUAUGGUUCUUAUUGUUAUCAUAUUGGUGGUUGCUGUAGCCGAAUAGGUUGGAGCGAGACUACCAUUUGAAACAAUACAAAUCAAUAGAAGUUUUUUUAAUGGCGGUCGCUCCUCAGCCGACCAUGGCAAACCUCCGAGUGUACCUACAUAUUUCUGCUAUGAAGAAGCUCCUCAACAAAAACCAGGCGGCGUAAAAUCAUAUUCAAGGUAUGUGACGCAUUUUCAAUACCAAUCACAAAAGAUGCACAAAUAUGGUAUGAUUUGGCCAUCCGAAACAAAAUUGUGAGUGUAACAUCGGCUGCCACGACACCGGGGACUUGACAACAGAAUUCUGCCUGCUCAUUUCACAAUGACUCCAGUUAUGUCAGCCAAUCAGGAUACAAAUCACAAUGGAGAUUAUUCAUAAGCAAGAAUGAUAGAAACAAGAUUGCGCCCAUCAGAGAGUGGGUGACGUCUCAUUAGCUGAGUUGUGCAGUGUUGCCAACCAUUUGCUCUUCGCAAUAAAUUUAGUGCUUUUUCAUACCCAAAAUGUGAAAAUUUUGAAGUUUGGUGUUUGUUUCUUUUUUUUAAUUUAAAGCUACCAAAACUGUAAGUUAAAAAGAAAACUGUAUUAUUAAACAAAAGAAGGUUAAAAAGGUCACUCUGAGAAGAUUUUAGUGCUAAUGAAAAUUUGUUGAUUCUUAUAAAUAUUAAUAUUUUGAAAGUGCAAAUUUAAUUUUUUGCUCCCUUUAAGGGUAUGCAAGAAUACAUAUUAAAUAUUCUUCUCUCAACUCUUCUUAACAUUGAAAUUGCAAAAAGCGUUUGAAUUUACUGAAUGCGAAUUAAAACCGUAGUAGUGUAAAUGUUUCUUCCGGUCCUCAAUCCUUAGGGGGACAUAGGGCAUCAAGAAUUGAAACAAAAAAAUACCAAAAAAUAUUGAAGAAACCAUAACAUUUUUACAAAAAGUGUACCUCAUCUUGUUAUAUAACCUCAAAUAUAGCAAGA